rnacentral:lncRNA from 10 species
AUCUGUCCCUAAUUCUCAGCUGUUGACUCAGGUCCUGCUCACAGUGGACAAGUGACCUCCAACCAGGAUCAUGUCACUCCAGGACCCUGAUGGAUACAGAUGGCAAUAGAAAGCCUCUCUGAGGAAGUGACAUUUAAGCUAGACUUUCGGGAUGAGCGGGAGCCAGCCAUGUGAAGAACGGGGGAGGAGAGACACUCCAGGCAGGAGGAAGUCGCGUGUGAAAACUCCAAGGUGGAAAGAGCUCACUGUUGUGUUCAAGGAACAGAGAGAAGGGCAGUGUGUCUAGAGUGCAGCACUCAGGAGAGACAGCACGAGAUGAGAUUUUCUGAAUUUCAUCCCGAUCACACAGCACACAGCAGAGGAAGUGGUUGGCCUGCCCUCCGGGUCACCUCUCUCCUCAUGCUGGCCCUUACGA